GAUUUGCAGACAUGCCUACAGUCCCGCAUUAUGCGGAACCGUCCCGCAAAAGCAUCAAAAAAGCUCACAUGUUCCGCCGUUCCGCAUUCACGAUUUUUUGUUCCGCCAAGUCUGAAUUCCGACACAAAAAAAAAAAAAAAAAAAUCGCAGAUUUUUCAUUAUUUAUUAAUAAUGCGAAAUUAAAAUACUGAAUGCAAAAUAAAAUAUAUAUAGGUCUGUGUUUAUUGUUUACAUUUCAUCUUCUCCCGGACCCGGUGUGUCCUAAAUUUACGAAGAUAAGGUUGAGCUAGAUCUAGACAUAGAUCUAGUACUCUAGGUAGGUCUAGAUACUAGAUCUAGAUUCUAGAUCUAUUCUUAGAAUCUAGUAAGUGCUAAUUAUGCUAAUAAGCCAAAUGUUUCAUUCAAAUCCCUUUCUUUUCCCGACAAUGGCUAUACUACUAAGUACUUAGAACACUUAGUCUACUUACUAGUACUUACAGUACUUACUACUAGUCUAGACUAGAUCUAGACUCUAGACUACUCUAUCUCUAGACUAUUGGCAAUGGGUUGGUAGACAUAGUCACGUGAUUUGGGCACGGCAGACAUAUUGGUGGUAAAAAUCUGGUUUCUAUGCACAAUCAACAAACGCUUUCCCUUUUAGGCACUUACUGUGACUUACCAUGGAUGAGUCGAACAAAGAAAGAUAUAGUAAGAAAAUUUCAGAAAUAAAUAAUAUUAAUCCUUACACUUUAAAAGCAAGCCUGUGUAAUAAAGAAAACGAUUUGCUGCCCUCCUUGUGUUAUCCACUUUAUCCAGAUCUCUUCACUUAUUAUCUUGUAACGUCUUGUUCUACCUGACUACUGGACUGACUGAAAGUGCUUUGGCUUACACAAUCACAAAGGAUGAAUUCAAGGCUUACAAGACUUAAGCAGCCUACAACCAGUUCCUAGAUGGCUGGGUUCAAGAUGUUAUGGCUUAUAAACCACACAAGUACCCAAAUACUGUUGUACUAGAAAAGGUUCUUCACUCUCAGCGGUUAGCAGAAAAGGUAUUGCAGCCCUGGAUAGUAAUAAGUCAAGAUGGUAUUAUUCUAUCAGCCCAAUGUUCUUGUAUAGCUGGACUUGGCGAGUCUGCACUCAUGUGGCAGCCACUUUAUUUAUGCUGGAAGCCAACACCAGAGUAAAAGAGAGUAAUAAAGACAGUUACAGGCGUGUCAUCUUACUGGACGAAUCCAUCAAAGCUUAAAAAACUUUUGUCAACUAAGGUUUCUCAGAUUGAUUUCACCUCAUCAAAAACAAAAAAAAAAGUUAAAUUUGAUUCUCUUGUGGACAACAUCGCUUCUAAAAAUAUAAAUUCAAAGGCUAUUAAAUCCAGAGAAACUAUAAAGCUUAGUAUACAUUCUUUUAAUUCAUUUAUUGAAAGUAAUGAGAUAACACCUUGAGGUGUUAUUCCAAUCAGAUAUUUUACUGUGUUGUUGAAAGAAUAAGUUUGUGCCUGUGCUUUAAUGCUGAUAGGUCUCUCAAUGAAAAUUUUAAAACAGGCAUUUAUUACUUGGAUGUCAAACUUAUUUUACUGUCACUUUCCUGCCAUAAGUAUAAAUAAAUUCUUUGGGCAUUGUCUUUCCGAGACUCUCCUUAUUGGGCCAGAAAAUCAAAUCGAACAUGUUGACAUACAUAAGAUAUAAAACGUUUAUGAAGAUCUUAGAGGCAGUUGUGGGAUGAAUUUUAAACAUAUCAGCUAAUACAUAGGCAGGUUUACCUAGAAUAUUUGUAAUAAAGUGUGUUAAAAAAAUAAUUUGUGUACAUUCAUAAUUAAGGUAGUUAAAUUAAAUUAUAUAUAUGUGUAAAUGUGAGACAGUGCCUGUAUUAUAUCCAAGCUAUCCAAUGAGAAAUAUUUAUAUAAUUUAAUAUAUAGAUAUAUUUAUUCAAAUCAUAUAAUGCAUUCAUUUAUUUGUGGAAAUAAAAGAAAUGAAUUUAAAUAUUGUUUGUUUAUUAAUUAUUAUUAUCUUAAAUAUUAUCAUAAGGUCUUUCAGGUUAACUUGUUUAUUCAAAUAAAUCAUUUUAUUUCUAGAUCAAAAUCCUGUUCUAUGUAACUGUUUGCAUGACAAUGGAUGUCAAGAACUAGAUCUAUUAAAAAAAAAAAAAAUUAUGAUAUAUAAAGUAUCUCAGUUAUUUAUUUAUUCAAAUCAAGAUGUUUGCCUGGUCAUGCAUUUGGCGCGAUAGACUUACCAAUGGUUCCGGGUUCAAACCCUACCCAUUCCCAUCCCCUGUUGUCCUGCGGGAGGUUUGGAGUAGGAAGAAACUUCCAAAAUGUAAAACAUUUUACAAUACAAUUUAGUGGAUUUAAUUAUAUCUAGAUAAUAGUAGAUAGAACUAUAUUAACUAGAU